ensembl:lncRNA
CUGAAAGAGUUGCAUACUUCUUCACCCAGCACGGUCACUGAGCUGGCAAGCUAAAGUUAGCUAGUGAGUCACAGAAAUGUACGUUCAGUCUGUUAAUUAUUUCAGUCCGAUUGGACUUAUCCUACUCAAAUCAACAUGGCUCAACAUAGUUUUUUCGUUUUUGACCUCGACAUUCUUGUUGGAUAGAUACUUUGAUAGCUAACAUGUGGGCUAAUCUCCUUUGGAUGCCUCCAUCUAGUUCCCUAGAGCAGCAGACCGGCCCUCCAUUCCCAAACCUGAAGCCCCCUGUCCCCAGCAGGAAAUACCAAGAAAAACUUCCUAUUGAGGAAAUCUAAUCACUGAAUGUCCUACUACAAGGAUGUGGUCAGGUUGACACACUUAUGAGCCACAAUAACACAGAUCACACACACCAGAGAUUGCGAGGAUCUGUCAACCAGGUUCGGUGGGUGACAGGUAAGCGUGUUUCCACAAAGAUGUUCCAGACCUGGAGUGGCACGCUGGAACUUCCAGAGGCUUGUAGACCUGAAGCAGUGUGAGAUCUGACACCCCUACUAGCUCAACCACAGUUCUCACAGCUGCAGUCGUCUGCUCCUGCACCUGCUACACCGGCCACGACAGGUGAUUCAGGUAAUUAUCACAUGCUUGUAUACACACACACAUACUCUUCCUCACUUUGGGCUCUAUUCAAUCACAUCCACUUUAGCCGACAUCCGCAUAGCAGUUGUUUUGGCGGUGUCUGAGAUGAAACUGUGUUAGAGCUGUCAAAUUCACCAGCAGCUCCUGGCAUUAUACCUAAAGCGGACAUUGCCGUUGGCUGCACAGAGUCAUAUUAACAGAAAUCUCAUGCAGCCCUGUUUACAAGUUAGAACACUGGAAUUUGAGAUGUAAUCUCCACCUCAUUUAGGCUGAUAGAAAUCCUCAUUAUUUAGUUGAAUGAUUUAGAAUUUGAGCAUCAUUAUUUCUCUAUAACCUGCACUUUCUCAUUCUGAACUUGUAACGCAAGUAGGACGGGUGUAGUUUCGUGCCAGUGAUCAACAGCAGCUUCUUCCUGAUUUGACAGAUCCUACUCAGUUACAACGCCAAAACAUCAGCUAUGCAUCUUUCGGCUAUCGCCGGUUAACGCUUAAUCUGAUUGAAUCUAGGCCUUACACUCAUUCAGUCUGUUUAGUUGUAUGAUUAUUGUCAGUUAAGAAAAUGAUGCCUCUCUUUUAGAUCUGCCACCCCCAGCAGUCCUCUGCUGUGGUAUUUAAUUUACCGGCUACACCGGUUCCUACUACAUUGGCCGCGAAGGGAGAAUCUUUUGAGGAUUCCCAGAUGGAUACAGGUCAUUUAGAAUGAUAUUACAUACACAUACGCUCACUCACACCAACAGAUGUGCACACAAACAUGUUGUUGAACUGUAUACUUACUGUCACGUUGUGCAUCUCUCUUUCAGAUCUGCCAUGCACUCCACCACUACCCCAGACAGCCUCACCCAGAAGUGCAUGCACCGGGCCUAUCACAAAGCAGAGAUGGGUGGCUGACAAGGAAAAAUAAAAUAUAACAUGCACACACACUCUCUCUCUGUUACACACACAUUAUCCCCAAUGUAAAUAAAUUGUAAUUAUUUUAUUUUAGGAUUGGAGAUAUCUUACGCCUACAUAUCCAUUAUCAAUAGCUACAUAAUUACUCUAUCCAAUCAAAGUGUGAUUGAUAAUAUCCCACCCCACAAAAGUACGUGAAUAUGUAAAUACAUAGUAAUAACUCGUUUAUUUUAUGUUUGCUCCAUUUUAUUUGAGGAAAAUGUCUGCAAUAAAGUACAUUCACAUAAAGC